UGUUCCUUCGACCUCAUUCUCUUAACAAUAGAAGAACUGCAGACCUCAAUCGGAGAAUUGUCCAAAAAGAUUGAGACCACCAAGACACAGCUAACCUCUACCACCCCUGAGGAGGACCUAAUAAAAGCAAAAGAAAGAAUCGAGAAACAAUUACAAGAAUUCAAGAAAAAUACAGAACAGAAUAAACGGCAGAAGUUUAUACGUGACGCAGAAGAUUACAGGUUGAACACAGUCUACCGGUGGAAAGGAAACCAACAAAGUGAAGGCUUCAGGGGAUACCAAAAUCCACACUACUCCGGCUCAUCAAAUUCCGACAGCGACAGAUCCGGCAACCACAGAUAUCCGUCCUGUUUUUUAGGCAAUCGACGAGGCAGAUCAAGACGCAGAAGAUCAAGACGAACGAUUGCAGACAAUAGAGACGCGCUCCCAGACUCGCUGAGAAUAAUUUUUUGUCCGCAACGGGUGUGGGUUACUGACAUUGUGCACUGGACCACUAUAGAAGAUUACAAAGCGGGCCUCUAGGGGUGAAAACCGUUAUGUGUAUUAGAUUACUCAUUUAAUGCUAUUGAUUUCCAUAAUGUUGAUUUAUACCACGUUCUCAGAAAAUAUACUUGGGCAUAGAUGUGGCUUAAACUAACUCCAGACGCUUAUUA